CCUGGGGAGUACGGUCGCAAGAUUAAAACUCAAAGGAAUUGACGGGGACCCGCACAAGCGGUGGAUGAUGUGGAUUAAUUCGAUGCAACGCGAAAAACCUUACCUACCCUUGACAUGUCUGGAAUUCCGAAGAGAUUUGGAAGUGCUCGCAAGAGAACCGGAACACAGGUGCUGCAUGGCUGUCGUCAGCUCGUGUCGUGAGAUGUUGGGUUAAGUCCCGCAACGAGCGCAACCCUUGUCAUUAGUUGCUACGAAAGGGCACUCUAAUGAGACUGCCGGUGACAAACCGGAGGAAGGUGGGGAUGACGUCAAGUCCUCAUGGCCCUUAUGGGUAGGGCUUCACACGUCAUACAAUGGUCGGGACAGAGGGUCGCCAACCCGCGAGGGGGAGCCAAUCCCAGAAACCCGAUCGUAGUCCGGAUCGCAGUCUGCAACUCGACUGCGUGAAGUCGGAAUCGCUAGUAAUCGCGGAUCAGCAUGUCGCGGUGAAUACGUUCCCGGGUCUUGUACACACCGCCCGUCACACCAUGGGAGUGGGUUUUACCAGAAGUAGUUAGCCUAACCGCAAGGGGGGCGAUUACCACGGUAGGAUUCAUGACUGGGGUGAAGUCGUAACAAGGUAGCCGUAUCGGAAGGUGCGGCUGGAUCACCUCCUU
rnacentral:rRNA from 1 species